AGCAGUAGCCACGGGAAAACGGAGGGAGCUAGCGUUGUUCGGAAUUACUGGGCGUAAAGCGCACGUAGGCGGCUUUGUAAGUUAGAGGUGAAAGCCUGGAGCUCAACUCCAGAAUUGCCUUUAAGACUGCAUCGCUUGAAUCCAGGAGAGGUGAGUGGAAUUCCGAGUGUAGAGGUGAAAUUCGUAGAUAUUCGGAAGAACACCAGUGGCGAAGGCGGCUGACUGGACAAGUAUUGACGCUGAGGUGCGAAAGCGUGGGGAGCAAACAGGAUUAGAUACCCCUGUAGUCCCUGUCUCUUAUAA
rnacentral:rRNA from 1 species